rnacentral:rRNA from 1 species
UACGUAGGAUGCAAGCGUUAUCCGGAAUUAUUGGGCGUAAAGAGUUUGUAGGUGGCAUGUUAAGUUGAAUGUUAAAUCUCAGGGCUCAACUCUGGGGCUGCAUUCAAUACUGGCAAGCUCGAGGUAUGGAGAGGUAAGCGGAAUUAGUAGUGUAGCGGUGAAAUGCGUAGAUAUUACUAAGAACACCAAUGGCGAAGGCAGCUUACUGGCCAUAUCCUGACACUGAGAAACGAAAGCGUGGGGAGCGAACAGG